UACGGGGGGAGCAAGCGUUGUUCGGAUUCAUUGGGCGUAAAGGGUGCGUAGGCGGCGCGGUAAGUCGGGUGUGAAAUCUCGGGGCUUAACUCCGAAACUGCAUUCGAUACUGCUGUGCUUGAGGACUGGAGAGGAGACUGGAAUUUACGGUGUAGCGGUGAAAUGCGUAGAUAUCGUAAGGAAGACCAGUGGCGAAGGCGGGUCUCUGGACAGUUCCUGACGCUGAGGCACGAAGGUCAGGGGAGCAAACGGG
rnacentral:rRNA from 1 species